rnacentral:rRNA from 1 species
UAGUCAUAUGCUUGUCUCAAAGAUUUAGCCAUGCAUGUCUAAGCACAAGCCGAUUAAUGGUGAAGCCGCGAAUGGCUCAUUACAACAGCCAUAGUUUCUUAGAUCUUACUUUUCUACUUGGAUAACUGUGGUAAUUCUAGAGCUAAUACACGCAAACAAGCUCAGACCUUACGGAAUGAGCGCAUUUAUUAGAACAAAAACCAAUCGGGCUUCGGUCCGUCAUUUGGUGAAUCUGAAUAACUUUGCUGAUCGCACGGUCUUCGUACCGGCGACAUAUCUUUCAAAUGUCUGCCUUAUCAACUUUCGAUGGUAGUUUAUGCGCCUACCAUGGUUGUAACGGGUAACGGAGAAUAAGGGUUCGACUCCGAAGAGGGAGCCUGAGAAACGGCUACCACAUCCAAGGAAGGCAGCAGGCACGCAAAUUACCCACUCCCGGCACGGGGAGGUAGUGACGAAAAAUAACGAGACGGCUCGCUAUGCGGUCCGUCAUCGGAAUGGGUACAAUUUAAAUCCUUUAACGAGGAUCUAUU